rnacentral:rRNA from 1 species
GGCGAACGGAUGAGUAACACGUGGGCAAUCUGCCCUGCACUCUGGGACAAGCCCUGGAAACGGGGUCUAAUACCGGAUACUGACCUUCACGGGCAUCUGUGAAGGUCGAAAGCUCCGGCGGUGCAGGAUGAGCCCGCGGCCUAUCAGCUUGUUGGUGAGGUAAUGGCUCACCAAGGCGACGACGGGUAGCCGGCCUGAGAGGGCGACCGGCCACACUGGGACUGAGACACGGCCCAGACUCCUACGGGAGGCAGCAGUGGGGAAUAUUGCACAAUGGGCGAAAGCCUGAUGCAGCGACGCCGCGUGAGGGAUGACGGCCUUCGGGUUGUAAACCUCUUUCAGCAGGGAAGAAGCGAAAGUGACGGUACCUGCAGAAGAAGCGCCGGCUAACUACGUGCCAGCAGCCGCGGUAAUACGUAGGGCGCAAGCGUUGUCCGGAAUUAUUGGGCGUAAAGAGCUCGUAGGCGGCUUGUCACGUCGGUUGUGAAAGCCCGGGGCUUAACCCCGGGUCUGCAGUCGAUACGGGCAGGCUAGAGUUCGGUAGGGGAGAUCGGAAUUCCUGGUGUAGCGGUGAAAUGCGCAGAUAUCAGGAGGAACACCGGUGGCGAAGGCGGAUCUCUGGCCGAUACUGACGCUGAGGAGCGAAAGCGUGGGGGAGCGAACAGGAUUAGAUA